GACGAACGCUGGCGGCGUGCCUAAUACAUGCAAGUAGAACGCAGUUGCGCACGGGUGAGUAACGAGUAGGUAACUGCCUCAUAGCGGGGGAUAACUAUUGGAAACGAUAGCUAAUACCGCAUACUGUGAGAUGGACCUGCGUUGUAUUAGCUAGUUGGUGAGGUAAAGGCCCACCAAGGCGACGAUACAUAGCGGGACUGAGAGGGGCGACGGGCACAAUGGGAAUGAGGCAAGGCCCAAACUCCUACGGGGGGGCGCAGGAGGGAAAUUUCGGCAAUUGACGGAAGUCUGAACGAGCAACUCCGCGGGAGUGGAGAAGGUUUUCGGAUCGUAAAGCUCCGUUGUUAAAGAAGCGGUAACUAACCAGAAAGCGACGGCUAACUACGUGCCAGCAGCCGCGGUAAUAC
rnacentral:rRNA from 1 species